AGAGGCUCCCGGGGGGACCCCGCUGCGGCUUUUUGGUAGUUGGAGGGGGGUUGUGAGGCAGAUGGAGAGCGGCUGGUGGGCGAUCAGGACGAGGGCAUGGUUGUAAAGUAAAACGAGGAGAGGUUUAGGGUAGAGGUCAGGAGGAAAUUCUUCACUCUCAGGUGUGAAGGUGCUGGCGCAGGCUGCCCAGGCAAGCUGUGGCUGCCCCAACCCUGUCAAUGCUCGAGGCCAGGCUGGACGGGGCGCUGGGCAACCUGGUCUGGUGGGUGGCAUCCCUGCCCACGGCGGGGGGCUGGAAUGAGGUGAUCUUUGAGGUCCCUUCCAACCCAAACCAUUCUGUGAUUGUGAUGGUGCUGGAGGAUUUGUGUGCUGUUGUGUGCCGAGGGGUUUGGAGGAGGUGGGGAGAGUUGGGACCCACUUUGGAUGUGGGCCUGGCAGGAGAGUUUUUAAGUUUGUAGCAUCUCAGAGGAGGCUCAAGGGAGAGUUUGGGGGAUGGGUACCUGGAGGUGAAGGCCAAGGCCUCUGGACAGCACAAGUGCUUGUCUUGGAGGCCUGGGUAGACCUGUGAUGUUUAUACUCCACCUCCAACUUACCUGCGGGUCUUACCUGGGAGACUUGUCCACCCUUUGUCAGACACAGCUAUACUAUACUUCCUUCAGGAUGUGCAGCAGCCCUUUCUAAAACGACUUUUCAGACUAAGGCACGUGAAAAACGCCUUAGAAUUCAAGGAGAUACGUGUGAUAAAAAUGGGUCUUGAACCGUAAGUGGGUCAAAAUGAGGAAACAGCAUAACUGUAAAAUUCUGUGUUCUUGCUGAAUUUAUAGAUUAAUUAUUUGACAUCGUGCUGUGAAUAACAGAAGGUAUAUUUCUACUGGCAUGGUGGUCAGUUUUAUAUUGAUGAUCUUUUGGAAGGGAUAAUCAAUAUAAAAAACAUGCAUGUUGCAGAAAGUCAGCCCUAUGAGGGGAAACAGUUUGAUAUGGUGUAUGGUGAAGCAUAAUAUUAGUUUUAUUUUAGAUCUGAAUUACAAUAUGAAUUUCACAGAGUGACUUGUUUUAUUUUUAUUUAUUUAUUUAUUUUUAAGUAAACUGAUGAAGACAGCUCAUUGAUUUGGGUGGAAGUAUCUUGAAGUCGUGCCUGUUCACAAGCACAGAGUAAUGGGGGGGGAAGCUGAUAAGUUGUAUGCUCUUUGACAGUUCACUGCAUCUAAAAUAGAUUAGCUGUUUGAUGACAGAUUAAAGAGUAGCUUUCAUGCUUAAUGUUUGUUUUCUAAUGUGUGGGGGGUGUAUCUGUGUACAUACCUGCUACAAUAACAUGCCUUAUUUCUCUCUGACUGCGUGCUUCAGGCCAUAUUCUUAUAAUCCCAUUUUUUUUCAGAUGGAGCUUGCCAUGGCACCCUAAUAAAGUCAGUAGAUAUUCGCAAUGAUGUGUGCUUCCACCUGUUGACUCUGAAGAUGUGUCUAUGCACAUUUCUCUUCCAACUCACCUGAAUAGUUACAGGGAAGCAUUAGGCAUGCUGAUACAGGUUUCUGUCAGGAUUGCCUACGAGGAAGAGGUGAUAGACUGGGUUUUUCUUUCAACCCCAUUUUUUUCAGGAAUCUGUGGUAAAUCUGCUGAAUUUGUGGGUACUGGGCUGUAAAGAUUUCAAGUUAGCUAGUGUUCUGUCUGCCUACAAAUAUACACUGUAAGUGUUCCUAGUAUAUGAAAGUUAGUAAUUAACAUUGGGCCUAAAAAAAAAAAUCCAGCUUUGCACUGGUGUACAUCAAAAUUAUAAAUCACCUGACUUUAGGAAGAGCAGCAGUGGCACAUGCUACAGAUAAUGUAUUAUUUCUUUGUAUGGAAAGAAGAACUGAUUACAGUGACAUUACACUGAUUAAAGUGGAUAUUCAUGACUCCCUUAAGACUUUGCAGUGGAAACAUCAGCCAAGAAGAAUGGUAAUGUCAUCUCUAGAGUAGGGGGCUUAUGUGUACAAACAGCAUAUACGGUUUCUGAGGUUUGUUAGACAUGAAUCACCAGGGUUUGUUUUGCUUUUCUGUCCCUUGUGUCCCUCUCUUUUAUAAUAAGCUCUUUGUCUUUUUUAUUUUAAACUAUAGGUUUGUUUUCAGGGAUGACUUUUUUCUCUAUUUUUGAAUCACAAGUAAGCAAAAGAAGUUUAUGCAACUGGGAGUGCUUUUUAUACAGUUUUUACUUCUAGUAGAAAUGGUUCCCAAUGACAUUUCUGUGAGCCUUUGCCAUGACAAGAAAACAGAGAAAAAAGUAAAACAAGCUCUGUGAAGUAUAAUUGUGAAACUACACAAAGUAUAAGGGAAAGACAAAAGCAAGGAUGUGAUCUGAAAACCAGUAAAUCUAAAGCUGACAUCAUUCCUGUUUAACUGAACACUAAGUUAUUUUAUCCUUUUUGGAAUAAAAUAAUGAUUUGGCCACAAGGCUGAAUGUGUGUAAGAGCGUAUUUCUCUGAAAAUAUUUCCUCUCUUGGGAAAGUCACUAAUAACUGCAUUGUUAACUUAGCUUUGAGGUUUUGAGGGGUAAUUUUUUUUCUCUAACAGUAAACACCAGUGAAUGUGGCAUAAUACAACAUAAAUUGUGUACGGAACGCCUUGCAUGCAAGGCAAUGUCAUUUAUAAUUUGUACAUGUAGGUGGAAGAGCCUUUACUCUUAGGAGAGUAUUACAGGAAGAUUCAGGCAGUGGUGGAUAGAUGAGUUGUAUGUUUCUAGGAGAUCGUUAGAUCCUUACGUGAAUCGUGCUUUCAGAACAGAGCAGGGCCUUUAACAGCCAUAGCAGAACUCUUGAGUUGUUGCCCGGUUGUCGCUGCAGUACUGGUUGAGUGAUAUGAAUGUCCAGCUGCCCUAAAACAAACACAGCGUGCCUCAGCCCAUUUUUAAUGCUUGCACACAAUUAACUGCCUUCACUCAUGCUUCCUGGGCAUUGCCUUUUUUUUUUUUUUCCCCAAGUUUGAUCUUAUUAAAAUGUAAUUUAUGGAGGGCUGGUUGCUCUCUUUUUUUUUUCCCACACCAGUGGUUCCUCUUGGCUUGCACCUUCUUCGUAUAUGUAACUAUUUCUGUAUUCCAAAGUUAGAAUAGGUUGCAAGGGGUAUAUACUGAAAUCAUAGAAUCAUAUGCCUGCAUAACGUGACAAACGCGGUGUCCUUGGAGGAGCAGGUAAUACACUGGAACAGGAUGCAUUACUGCAGUUCUGGAAGGAGCAUCCCCGAGGAAAUACUUGGAAUCCCUUCAGAGAUAAGGCUGGGAAUGGGAGUUGUGCCCAUCCAUUUAGAGCAGAGCUAUAGCCUGUUGCUAUAGGAAUAAAAAAUACUCACUGAAAUAAAAUACUUCGCUGUAUGAAGUUAAAAAUAGUUUUGUGGUAGGGUGGGUUAAAGCUGCAGUGAAAGGGAGGCUAUUAUGUAGAACUCCUGAACCAUCUGAGGUCACUGCUGCCAAAAGAAUGGAGUAAUAAAUAGUGACAGUCAGCUUAUUUGGAAAUGACAGCUCGGAGAUGAGUGCAGACCAGUUUGUUCCUUAUGGCUCUUCUGGACAUCUUGUGACUCUCCCAUAGAAAACUGACAGGCUGAAAGGUGGCAGCGCUCUAUGACCGUCUCUCCAUUUCAUUUGUGUGUGAGUGCAUAUAUAUAUAUAUAUUUCUUUUUGGAGUUUUCUCUCAGUAGGAGUUGGGAAUCUGUUCAAAUGCAGCAACGCUCACAGCUGCUCCUGUACACAGUGUGCCACAGCGAAACAAAUUGAUCGAGCUGUAGAGACAUGGCACCUACUUCUCUAGAUCAGAUAAUUGUGCUCAUUGUUCUUCCUGUUUAACAAAAGGCUUCAGCAGUAGCCAGAGUAUCAACUCUAGCUCCCAGGUUUUGCUGAAAAAAUUCUGGGACGAAUGAGUGAAACAUGAGGAGGCGUCUGUCGGGAAUUCACAUCACGGUUGAAGAAUGAUGUAUGAAUGUUGAAACCUUGACAAAGACGUCCUUUUUCUCAAAUGUUCAAGGCCUAAUAACAACAAAGUGUGUAAUGUCUGUUAUGAAAAAUUCUUUUUCGUAAUUGCCUACCUCUCUGGUCUUUUUUGUUUUCAUGACCAUACAUAAAUGGCAGGCCAUCAGAAGAGAUGAGGCACGGGAGGAUGAGUGCCCAAAUUCUGAGCACUACAAGAUGCAAUGAAGUGCCUCUUCACUGGGCUUCUCAGUAAAUCUUGCUGCUUUGGGGCUCUUUGGAGGACGUGCUCAUCUGGAAGCAGCAUUAUAGUUACAAGUUGACUUUAUGUAUUAAAAUGGAGUUUAGUUUUCAGGUUUAUUUCAUGCAGCCAGCAUGGUUAUCCCUGCUCUCCUAGCAUGGCUAAUUUGUAGUCUAUGUGACUUAUUCACAAAUAUCUUUAAGUGUAGCGUUAGCUCCUUCUUUAAUAUAAAGCUGUAAGAAGACCAGGCAAAAAUUAGUCAGCGCCUAUCUAGUGACACUUCUGAUUUUUAAGUGCUCUUAAAAAGCAAGGCUGUAACUCUUCUUCAUCUCCUAUAGCAAGCUAUUUUUUUGUAAAUUUUGUAUGAAGUAUACCUGAGAAAGCAUGGCUGGUUAAUCACAGAACUGAAAAAUUAACGUUUUCCAUUAAAGAAAAAGUGGUAUUCAGCUGGUUUUUCAUGCUAAAGUAGUUCAGGCACUGCUGCAUUUAGAAAGCUACAUGCAGUGGGCUGCCUUUGCAAGGCUAAAGUGACCAGCCAAAGUGUUGCAGACAGUAAGAAUAGUUAAGAAUGACUGUUCUACACAGAGCAAAUGACUGCUGCACUUGUGUUUGUGAAGAGAGGAAAAUCAUCUCCAGUAGUGGUGUUUGUCAGUUUCCUCUGCAUAGACAACAUUCUCAGGCUGUCUCGUCUGAACUUUUGGUAAAGAAAGGAAAAAAAGUUCUAGUCAGCCUACUCUGUGCCACUGCUGACCGUUUUUCACAUCUAACCUGCUUGUAAAAUGUAAAUUUCAGUAAUUUUUCUUUCCUUUCAGAAAGAAAUACUCAUAAUACAUGAUUUCUGAAAUCUUUCUGCAGUAAAAUUGCAAAUAAAAUAAUAUACAGCUGUUCUCCUCCUCUGAAUUGUACUGUAUAUCAGCCUGGACGAGUAGGAACACAUAGAUAUGUGGUAUUAUGAUUAACCCAUAUUAUGCAUAAGUAAGUUAUGUGCACCAACUCCAUGUCCUAAACUAAAUUACUGUAUUUCAGCCUUUUUUUGUAGUUGUUGGUUUUGGUGGAGCUUUAAAAGGAUGAAUGGUAUGCCUUGUGAGCUAGGUCUUUGUAAUUAGAAAUGCAAUGAACAUUUGCAGGUCCUUUGCUGUUUGUGGAUGUUGUGUGAUUUAUUUGUCACACUAGGAAAUCAGGCUACUGGCCUUCUUUGCAUAUUUUUCUGUUGCUAAAUUUCUUUUAAGUACACAUAAGCUGCUGAUUGCUAUAUAUUUUCUCAUCAUCUCCCUUUAUGGUCUUACUGGGUAGCACUGUGUGGUUCGAUACAGUCCUUAAUUGACAGGCUAGCUGUCUUAGGUACGCAGAGUGUGUACUCAGACAUUGUACCAUGGGUUUUCUGUCCAGAAAAUGAUUAUUUCACAGGACAUGGCACUAACAGUUCUCACUUUUGAAGAUGCCUGACUUUACACUGGCACUUCCAUGUCUGUCAGCCUGUUCCAUGAGUGGAGCAUUCCUUUCAUAUUAAGUUCCAGCACACGUUCUGCGUAGUGGAGAAGGCAGGUAUUACAUUCAUUGGUCAGGUUGAGGUAAAUGCCGUGUAGAUGUUAAAUCUGUGCUGGUCUCUUAAAUGCUAAUUACAACUGCUUUGCCCAUGCAGGAUAUUCAAAUGUGCCUUCUGCUUUAGCAGCAUCUGCAGACUGUGUGUGGGGCUUUCAGUUUGCUGGUGGGUACAUCUUAAGUGCUAAAUGGAAUAACGUGUUCCUUUUAAUGCAAGAACAGUGCAUUGAGUGUUAUUUCUUAUCUCACAGUGAAAAUUUGUGAUGUGGCACUGUUGUGAGAUGGUCUGGUUCUUGCAAAUUUUUUGCACCUGGGCAAGUGAAACAAAGAGUGGUUCUGGAAAGGACAAGCUGAAAGGAAACUGGGAGUUCAUACAAAAGAGAGGAACCCCUAUUGGUUAUGUACGCUUUUUUUGGACACCGAAAACAUUACUCUGGAUGUACAUUCUCACUGAUGACUGAUAAAUGAAGAGUGAUGCAGAUCCAUCAAAAUGAAAUACUGCACUGCUUCCCAGUUUGAAAUAGCCCCCUGCUUUACUUAAGAGUUUUAAGUUGUGUUAACUGUAGGGUGGAAAAGGUUUAUUUUUAUUUUUAUUAUUAUUAUUUUUAAAAGAAUAGCUGUUGUAUUUGGAGACAGAUACAGUAUAUUUCUAAACCCAGAGAAGGGCAUUUUAGUUGUAAUAUUGCCUAGUCAAUAGACAAUUGGGCCAGGUCUCUUCAAUAUCUUCAUCCAUGAUCUGGACAAGGAGAUCAAGUGCACCCUCAGUAAGUCUGCAGAUGACACCAGGCUGGGCAGGAGUGUUGAUCUGCUGGAGGGCAGGAGGACUCUGCAGGGGGAUCUGGGUGGGCUGGGCCCGUGGGCUGAGGCCAGCUGUAUGAGGUUCUGCAAGGCUCAGUGCCAGGUCCUGCACCUGGGGGAGUACAACCCCAUGCAAUGCUAUGGGCUGGGGGAAGAGUGGCUGGGAAGCUGCCUAGUGUAAAGGACCUGGUGAUAUUGGUCAUUUGACAGCUGAAUAUGAGCCAGCCGUGUGCUCAGGUGGCCAAGAAGGCCAACAGCAUCCUGGCUUGUAUAAGGAGUAGUGUGGCCAACAGGACCAGGGAGGUGAUGGUCCCCCUGUACUCACCUCUGGUGAGGCCACACCUUGAGUACUGUGUUCAGGUUUGGGCACCUCACUACAAGAAGGACACGGAGCUGUUGAAGUGAGCCCAGAGGAGGCCAUGAGGAUGCUCAGAGGGCUGGAGCACCUCUGCUGUGGGGACAGGCUGAGGGAGCUGGGGGCGUUCAGCCCAGAGAAGAGAAGGCUCCGGGGAGACCUUACAGCAGCCUGCCAGUGCCUAAAGGGGGCUACAGGACAGCUGGGGAGGGACUCUGUCAGGACUGGAGUGAUAGGACAAGGGGGGAUGUCUUUGAACUAAAAUAAUGGUGAUUUUACAUUAGACAUAAGGAAGAGGGUGGUGAGGCCCUGUCCCAGGCUGCCCAGAGGAGCUGUGGCUGCCCCAUCCCUGGCAGUGCUCAAGGCCAGGCUGCAUGGAGCUGGGGGCAGCCUGGGCUGGUGGGAGGUGUCCCUGCCUAUGGCAGGGCUAGGAGUUGUAUAAUCUUUAAGGUCCUUUCCAACCUAAAUUGUUCUGUGAUAGUUGGUCAAAGUCAGUUAAACCUUCUCCUUUUACUUUGCUAGUGCUAGCACUACCUUCAUUGCCUUAGAAGGACUUAGCAGAUUUGCUCUUACAGUAUUUUAUAGAAGGCUACUGAGUCUGGCUGGGUUGGAGUUAAUUUUCCUUGUAGCAGCCAGUUCAGUACUCUACUUUUGAUUUGUGACCAAAACAGUGGUGAUAAUUCACCUGUGUCUGAGCUGUUGCUGAACAGUUUGGGCUCAGCAUCAAGGCUUUACCUGUUUGCCCCUUUGCUCCCCACUGUGAUGAGGCUGGGCCUGUGCCAGAAGCGUGGAGGGGACACAGCCAGGACAGCUGACCCCAGCUGAACACGGGGAUAUUCCAUACCAUAUGGCAUUGUGAUCAGCAGGAAAAGGUUUUUUUUGGUAUGUAAUCAUUGCUUGGAGGUUGGAUGGACAUCAGUCUUACCUGUAGGAGGUGGUGAGCCAUGGCUUUUGCAUCACUUUUUUAUUUUCUUCCUUUGUUCUUCUUUUCCUUUGUUUAUUAAACAGCUUUUAUCUCUCACAUAAGUGUUUUGUUUGGUUUUACUUUUGCUCUUCCUAAUCCUGCUGAUAGGGGAAAGAGAGGGGGCAAUUGUGUGGGGCUCAGCUGCCAGCCAGGGCCAGCCGCAGGGAGGCACUGAAUGUGUGCAAGUUGCAUGUUGUAAGCUCCUGCUUGUUAUACUUGUAUCUGGGCAGGAUGUGAGCUCUUCUUUUCUUGCCAUGUUUGCUUACUGCUGUUUGAAGACUUCCUUAGAGUGAAGUAUGUGAUGUGGAGGAUCUGAGCUCCAGAUCCUCCACACUGGAGGAUAAACACUUCUUUCAAAUGCAUGCCAGAUUUUAUGCUCAGUGACAAUAGCUGGUAUUGUAGGAAAUAAUUGGCAGGCUAUGGAAUAAACUGCAACUUUAUUUUACAUGAAGUAUGGAGAAUAUAGGUUGGACCCUGAUGGAAGGGGGUGGCUUUGAAGUAAUUCUCUCCAUGUGCAUACACUAAUUGUGCUGAAAGUUAGGAUGCGAGGAUUUAAGUUUCUUUCAAUUCCUAAAGGAACAAUCAGAGUUCCAAGUUGUGCGUGGGUGCAUUGCCUCCUCUUCAGCAAAGUUGCAUUUUUUUUUUUGUCUUCCUUUUAGUGAAGAGAUGUCUGUGUACAUGCUUAAAAAGCUGUGCGGUAGCAUUUGGCUUUAGUGUUUUCGGUAGUCGACAGCAGUUGCUGUUUGUUAUUUAUUCUUAAACACAGUGUCAGGCUGAUCAAAUACCUGACAAGUUCCUUGUCAACAGUAUUGGAUUUUUGAAUAUGCAUGCUUGCUUUCCAAAAGUAUUUCUAGUGUUUGGCUGUCAGAACACUUCAGAGCCUUUGCUCGCUAGCUUACCUUCUGUUUAUAACUAGACUGCAAUUUAUGUUCCAGUAAAAUGGCUAAUGAUGUAAAUUGCAUCAGAAGUUGAAAAAUAGGGACAGCAGUCUGAAAUAAAAUCUUCAGGUUGUGGUAUUUCAAUAAAAAGCACUCUGCACUCAGCCUUGCUUUUCCUUCUUAAACCAGAGAUUAAUUUUUAAAGGUUAUGUAGGUCAAAGUGCAUCAUUAGAUGUUCCUGCAACCACCUUGGCUGAGAAGGUGAUGACUUGCUUGAAAGAUAAGAUAUUCAGUGAAGAGCUAGCAAGGUAUAGGUUGGCAUAGAAUCUUAUUCUGGUUUGCAGAGAACGAGGAGGAAUCCUGUGUAUUUUAAUCGCAGAAAGCGCAGACUUAAUGUUAGACUAUUUUUCCUAUGAUAUGUGAGAAAAUUUACAAUGUUCCUUUAGAGAUGUGUAUUUCUUGAAUAUUUUGAAUAUUCACAAAUUCUGGACAUGUUUUUAUCUACAUGUUUGUAUGUACUGCUUACUGUGUAUUACUAUAUUUGAGGGAUGACUGGUAAGAGUGAUGAAUGUCUCUUUUACAUUGUUUCGUUUUCAGAAGAACAUGGAUAUGUUUUUUUCCAAUUAUGUAGGUAGACAGAACUGCUUCUUUUGCUGAAACUGACAUCUCUAUGUACCCAUUUAAGGGCUACCUGAGAAAUGGUAAUUCCAGUUUUGGUUACAAGCCAUGCAAUAUAUACAGAGCAGCCCUCUCCGAAUACAUUUCUGUCAGGUGAAGCUCUAUCUUGUUUCUUUCACCAAAGAAGCUGGUCCAUAGAAACAGUUAAAAUUGCAGUCUGGCCAGCAGUAGGUGUGAGAACAAUUCUGUUUAAAGAAAAAAAAAAAAAGGAAGUUUGGUCUUUUUAUGAUUUUCUAGAUGAUGAUAACAAACUUUACUGAAGCUUUUUGCUUUCAAAACUCCCCAGAAAAAAUUUGCAUUUCCAGAAAGCUUUUUCUUAUGUUUAGAUUCUAACACAAACUUCGAGCAUGUUCUCAUCUAACUGUUUUCUUACAUUCCCGAGCAGUCUUCUGUUACCCUCUUGUCUUUUAGGAGGGAAUGGAUUGAUAAACAAUGAGAAGAGACAAGGCAUGCUAUUGCUGAAGAGCUCCUUAAGCAAGACCCUAACCCUGAACAUUAUCUAUUUAGACAAGCAUGAAUAGGUUGGGGUAAGACCACACAGUUCCUUGCCAAAGGAAAUUGAUUUAGGACUUGUUAGAGAAUUCUGCCACGGAAACUCAAUUUGGUUUUGUGUUUUAAUGCAUCUGGCAUUGUGCGCUACUAUAGUGUCAUGGAGUAUCAGAUUUUCUUAGAGGUAAAAAAUCUAUAGCUGGUAGAUUUAGAGAUUAAUACAGGAGCUCUGAAUGUGUAUUAGAAAGUAACAGAGAAUGCCUAAGUCAUUAAACCACAUGCAGAUAAUAAUAAAAUAAAUAAAAGUAAAAUAAACGUCUGCUUUUCUUUUCACUGUUAGCUGGAGCUUCUGUGCUGUGGUUAAUCCCAAUUUCAGGUAGAUUAAAUUGCAGUAACCUGCAGUGGGAAUAAAAAAAAAAAACAUAUCUUUUUAUCCUUUGAGGGUGAAAAUGGAUUAAUGUGUAUAAUAAAAAAAUACCUGUGGUGAGAUCAGCCUAACAUUACCUUUAUGGUUCAAACAAUUUUAGACAUGCCAGCCUGUCUACAACUAAUGUUGUGAUGAAGCUUUUCCUUUUCUCUUCUUCCAUCAUUGUUUUCUAUUGUUUGCAUUUCCUCCCAGCUCAUUGUGAAUAUGUUUAUGCUGAUGAAGGAAGUUCUGAUUGGUUCUCCCUGGAGUUUAAGGUCCUUUGUAUGUUCACAGGUUACUUGAAUAGCUGGCUAAGAGCAUGUAGAAGUCCACAUAAAGACUUAGUAGAGUAGAAACAGAUGUUGGCUGGCUGCAAAGAGGAGUUGAGCAGAACUAGUGCAGAAUUGCCCAUUAUAUUCCUGUUAUGUCUUGUGUGUCCACAGUGAGCCAUCAGCGGUUUGAAGCUUACCAGAUUUUUGCAGAGCAAAAUUCUGUAUGCAUCAUCUGUUUCCCAUCUGAUAAAACUAAAUUUCCAGUUUUCCCGGUUGCCAAGAAUUAAAUUAUUUUAGUGGCCUACAGGAAACAUACAGAAGAGGUAUUUGAAAUACUUGAUAAAAUAUUUAAAUGUAAUUAGCAGAUUAGAUAAAUUUAUAGUUUAACACAGUAAUUAAAUUUGAAAGGCACCAUGUAUUAUCCAGUAUGUCAACCAGUAUUACAUCAAAUUAAGUAUUUGUGCAGAUCGGAGAAAUAAGUAGCUUUUUUUUUUUUUGCAGUGCUUUGAAAGUUUAACAACUGUAGUAACUUCUUUACAUGCUUUUCUGGUGUUUCUGUAAUGAGAUGUGUGAUUGCCAACCAUUCCUACUGACGUGGCAGUGCGUGUUAUCUGAAGUUGUGCCACCCAGCCAUGUUAUAUAGACCACAGUUUGAGAAAUGUUGAUCUGAGGGAUUCAAAUGAUAAGAAUGAAUACGCAGCUAUUUGUCCAAGUAGUGACAAGCUUUUCCUACGUGUAACUGAGAACUUGGAAAAAAUUAUGGUUUUUGUGUGUGUUUUGUUUUCAUUUUUACGAAUCCUGUUUACUUGUUUUUAUGUUCAGAAGCUUCUUGCAAUGAUAUCCUGAAAGAAUAAACUUAAAUCAUUUU